UGGAUUGUCCACAUUUAGAUUGUUAACACAUUUGUCUGUAUAUCAGAUCACAGAAAGCACGUAUAUGGGAUAUAAAGGGCUGUAAGGAUGACAGAACCACUUGCAACGUCACUGAGGAUGGAUUUUUUAUUUUUAAUGGCACCAGAAACAAUGGAAUCAGGUGGCUUUGCCAGCCUAACUCUCCCUGUGCUGAUGUGCUAUCCAAGAACCCUGCAGUAUCUCCACGUUUCUUCUUCAUCAUUGAGGUCUCAAACAGGGAUACGGAGACAUACUGCAGUCACACCUUCCGUUUUGAUAUACUUGUCCAUGACUUCCCCAUGAGCUCAAGUAGGAAGUGCUACAUCGUUCUGGUGACUGUGGCAUGCUUUGUUGGUGUGAUGGUAACGUCUCGUUCUAUUUUUUAGCUGUUUCAUUUUAGUAUGUCAUGUUUAAUUUUUGUUUGUGUUAAAUGUCUGUAUAAAGUUUAAUUUGUAUGGUUCUGUUUUGUUGUCCAGUGUUCCGACAUUUUUUAGUAUUUCAAGAAGUAGUUGCAAUAAUGCUACUGAUUGAAAAAAUUACAUUACAUUUAAUUGUAAAAUUACAUUAAAAAUAUACAUA